rnacentral:lncRNA from 1 species
AUGAAAAAAAGAGAAAGGGGUGGGCAGGGGAGAGACAGGCAGGGACACACCCGCGCCUCUCCUUUGUUCAGCCCCCUGCAUCAGGAAGGGGCUCCAGUCCCAGGGAGGGGCCCCGGGCUGCGUUCCCUGCCCCCCCCAUUCCCACCCACCUUCUUUUGUGUCUGCCUGGCUGCCAGCCCCGGUAGGCGCGCGCGAGAGGCAGAACAAAGAGGCCGGCCCUCCUCGCAGGAUCGGCCUCCCGUCGCACCGGGGAGGGAGAAGCCGGCGCGUUCCCCCCACCCCCAAGUGAAGCCCGGCCUGGGGCGCGUCUCUUGCGGGAGGGGGGCGAGAGCGGCUGGUGCCUCUGAGCCAGAAAAAAAAAAUAAAAUAAAGAGCCGGCGCCCAGCGCCCCUGGCUUGCCCGGGAAGGGAAGCCAACCGGCCACCUUGCCUAGGUCAUCCUAGUGACAGCCCUUCCUUCCUUCCUUUACCGGGAACAGCUGAGGGGCAGAGGAAGGCCAGCCUCCGGUUCUCUCCUCUUUCCACCUCAGGAGGAGCCUGUUGUCGCCCAAAAUCAAGAAACUCAAGGAGUCCCCGAAGAAGCAGGGCUUUGAGAACAGGCGUUUUCUGGGCAGAGCCUGGAGGGUGGGGGGCGCCAGCAGAGCAACCCUCAGUCUUAAACUCCUGCAGUUUAGUCGCCCUGGUUUGCUUUACUGGGUUUUGGUACCUUGUGCNNNNNNNNNNNNNNNNNNNNNNNNNNNNNNNNNNNNNNNNNNNNNNNNNNNAGGAAGAGCAAAAAGUGACCUUGAGCAGUACCUGUGUCUCACAUUCAAGACAAUGUCAGAAAGAGAAAACUACCCGGCUUUAUUUUACAUUUCUUUUUACCCUUAUUAUUUGUUUCUUCUCAAAACUCAGCCCCACUCUUUGUGAAGCCCUCUCUGCCCAGGCAGCAGCACCGCCCGCCCCGCCCCCCCCAGUCCAUGUAUUUCCUUCCUCCGGCCCCUUUUGUGGUCAAAAUGUGACUCAGCUGCAGGAGAGAAUAAACCCUCUUCUGCCAAUCCUGCCCCUGACUGGGGAUGCCAGUCUCUCUCCUGGCUCUGCCACCUUGCGAGUGACGGCAUCCUUGGGCCAAGGCAGGCGGGUUCCCAAAAAGGGAAGAACCCUCUGA